GACGAACGCUGGCGGCGUGCCUAACACAUGCAAGUCGAGCGAGUAGAGUUCUUCGGAACAAAGCUAGCGGCGGACGGGUGAGUAACACGUGGGCAACCUGCCUUAUAGAGGGGAAUAGCCUCCCGAAAGGGAGAUUAAUACCGCAUAAGAUUGUAGCUUCGCAUGAAGUAGCAAUUAAAGGAGCAAUCCGCUAUGAGAUGGGCCCGCGGCGCAUUAGCUAGUUGGUGAGGUAACGGCUCACCAAGGCGACGAUGCGUAGCCGACCUGAGAGGGUGAUCGGCCACAUUGGGACUGAGACACGGCCCAGACUCCUACGGGAGGCAGCAGUGGGGAAUAUUGCACAAUGGGGGAAACCCUGAUGCAGCAACGCCGCGUGAGUGAUGACGGCCUUCGGGUUGUAAAGCUCUGUCUUCAGGGACGAUAAUGACGGUACCUGAGGAGGAAGCCACGGCUAACUACGUGCCAGCCGCCGCGGUAAGAC
rnacentral:rRNA from 1 species